rnacentral:rRNA from 1 species
UAGGGAAUCUUCCGCAAUGGACGCAAGUCUGACGGAGCAACGCCGCGUGAGUGAAGAAGGAUUUCGGUUCGUAAAACUCUGUUGUUAGAGAAGAACAGCGCAUAGAGUAACUGUUAUGCGUGUGACGGUAUCUAACCAGUAAGGGACGGCUAACUACGUGCCAGCAGCCGCGGUAAUACGUAGGUCCCGAGCGUUGUCCGGAUUUAUUGGGCGUAAAGCGAGCGCAGGCGGUUAGAUAAGUCUGAAGUUAAAGGCAGUGGCUCAACCAUUGUAGGCUUUGGAAACUGUUUAACUUGAGUGCAGAAGGGGAGAGUGGAAUUCCAUGUGUAGCGGUGAAAUGCGUAGAUAUAUGGAGGAACACCGGUGGCGAAGGCGGCUCUCUGGUCUGUAACUGACGCUGAGGCUCGAAAGCGUGGGGAGCGAACAGG